rnacentral:rRNA from 1 species
GAUCAUGGCUCAGAUUGAACGCUGGCGGCAGGCUUAACACAUGCAAGUCGAACGGUAACAUAAAGAAGAUUGCUUCUUUGAUGACGAGUGGCGGACGGGUGAGUAAUGCUUGGGAAUUUAGCUUAUGGAGGGGGAUAACUACGGGAAACUGUAGCUAAUACCGCGUAAUAUCGAAAGAUUAAAGUGUGGGACCUUCGGGCCACAUGCCAUAGGAUGAGCCCAAGUGGGAUUAGGUAGUUGGUGAAGG